UCCUACGGGAGGCAGCAGUGGGGAAUAUUGCACAAUGGGGGAAACCCUGAUGCAGCGACGCCGCGUGAGCGAAGAAGUAUUUCGGUAUGUAAAGCUCUAUCAGCAGGGAAGAAAAUGACGGUACCUGACUAAGAAGCCCCGGCUAAAUACGUGCCAGCAGCCGCGGUAAUACGUAUGGGGCAAGCGUUAUCCGGAUUUACUGGGUGUAAAGGGUGUGCAGGCGGCUGAGUAAGACAGAUGUGAAAUCCCCGGGCUUAACCUGGGAACCGCAUAUGUGACUGCUUGGCU
rnacentral:rRNA from 1 species